rnacentral:lncRNA from 1 species
GUUAAGUCUGUCGAGUACUAAGCCGAUUCUAUUUCAAGGGUAGCGAGUCGAAACGGGACAUGGAGACCAUGAUUAAACGACCCGACUAAAAUUUUGCACUUCGGGCAUAUUGAGCGCAGCAAGAAAUCACGCCAGGAAUUCAUCUGGGAGCAGUAGGCUAUAAACAUAUAAUUGGAGGAUUAUCCCCGCUAAAAUAAUUGGGCAACUUUUAACGGAUGUAGGCUACUGUCAUCGUGUUUUUUUUUUUUUUAACCUAGUGUGUUAGGCUACUGGAGGACAGAACAGAUUCGUUUAGCCCUUGAUUAUAGUCAGGCCAUCAGACUGUUAAACAGUCACCACAAGCCGGCCUCCGCCCAGUACCCUGCCCUGAACAUAGUCACUGUUACUAGCUGACUACCACCCUGUACUCUACCCUGCACCUUAGAGACUGCUGCACUAUGUACAUAGUCAUUGAACACUGGUCACUUUAGUAAUGUUUACAUACUGUUUUACCCACUUCAUCUGUAUAUCCUGUAUUCUAGUCAAGGCUAAUCCUAUAUAACUACUGCUGUA